GGAACUAUAGCUCAGUGGUAGAGCGCCCGCCUUGCAUGUGUGAGGAACUGGGUUAGAUCCU
rnacentral:tRNA from 1 species